rnacentral:lncRNA from 1 species
CGACAUCGUUUCAUCUUAGCCAAAAGAUCCUGGCCAUUGAUCACUCUUGAUCUAACAGACAGGAUCCUUCCUCCUAAUCCAUAUAUAUACUCACUCACUCACCCCGCACCCCCCAAAAGCACCCUACCCUCCUCAUUCUUCUUCCCCAUCUCAAACCCUCAAAGACCAGAACCCCAAAACCCUAGCCGCCUCUAGGCAAUUUGCACCAGAAACCCUGGCGGCAACGACGCCGCCGGUCACCCCGUUAACACCACAGAACCCCCAUCACACCCUAAAGCC